rnacentral:lncRNA from 1 species
AAGUACAAACUUAGGUUUAUGGAGCACUUAACGUAACGUAACGUGUUACGAAAAAGCUUGUGCGGUGGCUCUAAAACCUGGCGUAAUGAUUACGACAGUCGUAGUCUAAAGCCUCGUCUACAGAAGUCGCAAGCAGCCAGUUGCGACUUGCGACAGCCAAUGACUGUCAAGCUUUAACUAGAAACUAGGCGCUCAUUGGCUGCCGCAAAUCGCAAUUGACUGCUUGCGACUGUAGACGAGGCUUUAGACGUAGGCAACGCACAAGGCUUUAGACGUAGGCAAGCUGUGUCGUAUAAUUAUGUAUCCAAAUCGAUGCUGGUGUAUUAAUUUUUUUACGGUUAUUCAUUCUAUACAAACGUCAACCCAAAUAAGUAAAAAUUUGUAAUCAAGAGAUUGAUCAUGUAAUUUCACAUGAAACUUUUCAUAUUUUAUACAUGUAUAACCUUUUUCUGUCAAUGUAAUACAACAAGAAUUCUUGUUAGUACUUGCAUUGACAGAAGAUUAUAAUUAAUAUAAUUAUACAUGCAUGAAACCACAUAGAGUGUGAACAGUUUCAUGUAAAAUUAUAUAAUUGAUCCCUAGAUUCAGACCGUGACUGCAUGUGUUCAUUUAAAUAAUAAAAAUGAAUGAUACAUCUUAUACAUCUGAUACAUCUGACUGUGAAAGCACUUAUGAGAAGGUAGUGAAAAAAUCUAAAUUGGCUGGAAAAGUAACCCAUAGUCGUACUAUAAAAAUAUAGAAGUUUAUAAGAAAGUUUAUAUAAAUGGCUAAAACCAAUGCCAGGAAAUGCCGAAAAGUGUAAAUAUAUGUGGUACUGAUAUGAAAGCACAACUUUCAGUUAUAAAAAUGCAUAAAAAAGGUAUCAAACACCAACAAAAAAUAAAAGAAGCACCCAACACUUCCAAAAUUGACAAUAUUUUUAAAAAUCCUAUUGGAGAAAGUGUAAAAAAUUUGAGAUGUGGAUUUCUGUAUCUUUAGCAGAACACAAUACAGCAUUUAAUGCAGUGGACCAUCUAAUUAGCAAACUGAAAUUUCACCUUAAAGACUCUAUAGUACAAGACUGCAAAUUAGGCAGAACAAAGGCCACUGCCAUUGUAAAGAAUGUUAUUGGAAAGUGCCACCAAGUUGAUAUUUUAAUGCCCGUUUCCAUCAACGUGGUUCAGAUCAGAGUUUGUGUGAACUACGUUCAAAAUUGAACGCAGUUUAAUUUUUGGUCAACUUGUUUUGCUUUCCUCCAAUUUUAUCUUUGUCUCGAUCAACUGAACGUAUACUUUAUGCGUGCUAAUUUAAACUAUAUUGUAGUGAUUGGUGCCAAUAAAUAUGUUAUAUAUAUAUAAAUAUAAAAUUAAAUUUAACCUAGUUUAUAAUAUUUGACACUUAUCGUCACAUCCUAUUACAUUAUUUAUAAGAAAAUAAUAGUUGCUAUAUAUUAUUUAUAAAAUAAUAUACAAAUGAAGCAUCAAAUACAUAAAAAAGAAAGAAUUUUACAGAAGCAGAAAAAAUACUUCUUCCGAGUUAGUGCAAGAAAACUGUAAAAUCUUAGAAAAUAAAGCAACAAACAGUGUUUCCG